rnacentral:rRNA from 1 species
AUUGAACGCUGGUGGCAGGCCUAACACAUGCAAGUCGAACGAGUGGCGGACGGGUGAGUAAUGUCUGGGAAACUGCCUGAUGGAGGGGGAUAACGACUGGAAACGGUAGAUAAUAUCGCAUAACAUCCGAUGUGCCAAGAUGGGAGUAGCUUGUGGGUGGGGUAACGGCUCACCAAGGCGACGAUCCCUAGCUUGUCUGAGAGGAUGACCAGCCACACUGGAACUGAGACACGGUCCAGAUUCCUACGGGAGUCAGCAGUGGGGAAUAUGGCACAAUGGGCGCAAGCCUGAUGCAGCCAUGCCGCGUGUAUGAAGAAGGCCUUCGGGUUGUAAAGUACUUUCAGCGGGGAGGCGUUACCCGCAGAAGAAGCACCGGCUAACUCCGUGCCAGCAGCCGCGGUAAUAC